rnacentral:tRNA from 1 species
GAGGGUAUAGCUCAGUAGCAGAGUGCGUGCUUAGCAUUCAUGAGGUCCUGGGUUCAAUCCCCAGUACCGCCA